rnacentral:lncRNA from 1 species
UUUUUUUUUUAACACCAAUAGUUUUGUAAAAUACAUACUCAGCUCCAAGGAAAUUUUUUUUGGUAUUUUAAGUCAGACUUUCAGCAGCUCUCAGUGCAAAGAGAUUUGCUUUGCAUUCUUCCUGCGUUGCUGUCUUUGCCUCUUCCAAGACUACAUUUUUUGUAAUAUAACUGCUGCUUUUUAGAUUUAUUUUCAAAAAAUGUCAUAGAGACCAGAACUUUGACAUUUUCAUCACUUUCUCUGUUAGGCUGGUAAACCCCUUUAUGGUGAGCUUACUGGUCCUACAAGCACAGAGUUCACUCCCACACCGAUACUCAUCUCUGGAUGAGCAAAUACAAAACAAUUUCUUUGCUAUUAUAUUUAUAACCCUACAUUCAGAUUUUCAUUUUCUACAAGUUCCAGCCUUGAAAAUACCCAGCAAUCUAUGUUAUAAAAAAUAAAUUAGUGUCUUAUUGCCCUUUCAUGCAAAGCUCUAUGUGUUCAAUCAAGUACACCCCCCGCCCCCCAUUUUGUCUUUCUAUAUGCGAGACAAAUGUUCAUGUUUUCAAAUGUUAAAAAGUCAUUUUUUUCCAUCUCAGUAGUCUGCCACAUCUGGUUUCGACAGCUCUUCAUGCAGUCACACUCAGCAAGGCUUUGAGCGCACUACAAAGUAAUGAGUCUCAGUAAGGGUAAUGCAACAUCUACUAGAUAAACAGAGCAGCUGUUAGGCACUUUACAAUAGCUCACAGCAGCCCUGAACAUUGGGAUCUCUUUUACUGAAGGGGUGAAUGUUUCCCAGGACCCUGAGGUUAUCCACCUGGACAGCAACCAGAGAAAAGCAGGAUAACUUAAUGUCCUGUGCACCUCCAACAGUGAAGUACCACUCCACAGUAUGACAGUAUUUAUGGCCAAGGAAAGACCGUAUAAUUCAUUGGAGGUUUUUGUUUAGAGAGGAUAAAGAGUAUAUUGUACUGCAACAUUAGUUAAAAACAAAAAAUGCAGAUAUUGAUUAGUUAAAAAUGUGCCAAAGUAUUUUUUAAACCUUGCAUUAGGACUUAGAGGAGUUGUUCAAUAAGAACUUGUCUCUUAUGAUUUCUUUGGUAUCUUUUUUCAGGUUCAUAAUAGGGUUGAAAUUGGCCAUCUGACUUUU